CUCGGAUUAAUGUUUCGCGUCAACGAUUUCUAUGUACUCUGAAGUUAACUUCAAAUUCAAUAUUACUGAGCCCUACAUAGCAUCAGCCCCUUAUAUGGUUUAUAACGAGUGACCCAGAGGUUGCGUCUGGCCUGUUGGCAGGAAAUUCACAAAUAAGAAUGAGCACAAGGCACAUCUAAUAAUAACUUUAUUCUGGCACAUGUAUAUAGUACUUAUAUGCAGUGAAGUUUUUGUACAAAAUCUGUAUGAAAGAAACUGGAAGUUUACAGAAAAUACAUGUCAUUUUAUAAAAAGUAAAAAACAAUGUUAAAUUCAGUUCUAUUUUGGUGAUGAUUGGAAACAGAACAAGCUCUAAUGUCUGGUUAAACAAGAAUGUAUGUAAUUCCGCACCCAUGGGAUUUCACAGUGAGGUACAUAAGACACACACACCACAUUAAUGAUGAGAAAAAUACGAAGUUCUAUAGAAGUGGAAGGGGAUCCAAUCUUAUACCACCUGUACUGUUCACAUGGUGGCCAAUCUUUGCAUUAUCUCCCCAGUGAUGAUAAAUCUAAAAAUAACUUAACACUGUCACAGCAGUAAGAUUUAAUUAUACCAGUUAACUAAU